GUUGGGUAGGGGAGCGUUCUGUAAGCCUGUGAAGGUGUGUCGUGAGGCAUGCUGGAGGUAUCAGAAGUGCGAAUGCUGACAUAAGUAACGAUAAAGCGGGUGAAAAGCCCGCUCGCCGGAAGACCAAGGGUUCCUGUCCAACGUUAAUCGGGGCAGGGUGAGUCGACCCCUAAGGCGAGGCCGAAAGGCGUAGUCGAUGGGAAACGGGUUAAUAUUCCCGUACUUGGUGUUACUGCGAAGGGGGGACGGAGAAGGCUAUGUUGGCCGGGCGACGGUUGUCCCGGUUUAAGCGUGUAGGUGUGUGUUCCAGGUAAAUCCGGUUCACUUUAACACUGAGGCGUGACGACGAGGCACUACGGUGCUGAAGCAACAAAUGCCCUGCUUCCAGGAAAAGCCUCUAAGCAUCAGGUAACAUCAAAUCGUACCCCAAACCGACACAGGUGGUCAGGUAGAGAAUACCAAGGCGCUUGAGAGAACUCGGGUGAAGGAACUAGGCAAAAUGGUGCCGUAACUUCGGGAGAAGGCACGCUGACACGUAGGUGAAGUGAUUUACUCAUGGAGCUGAAGUCAGUCGAAGAUACCAGCUGGCUGCAACUGUUUAUUAAAAACACAGCACUGUGCAAACACGAAAGUGGACGUAUACGGUGUGACGCCUGCCCGGUGCCGGAAGGUUAAUUGAUGGGGUCAGCG
rnacentral:rRNA from 1 species